UACACCACCUUGCCCCAUGCUCCCAUGCCCUCUGACCAUUUUUGAAUACUGGCCUCUGGAGUCUCGUAAGACCAAACACCCUGCCUCUGCUCCCUGCCAUACUUAAUGGGCCUCACACCCUGCUUCCUGGAGCUUGAUUUCACUGCGGAGUCCAGGCCUCGUGGAUGGCUCUAGACCAAGAGCACAAGCAGAUUUACAAAAGAAUCAGUGUUGGCAGGAAGGGGAAAAAAAUGACAUAGAAAGAGAGGAGCCAUCAGGAAAGAUGAAAGGGUUUUGCUUCUUCAUCUGACGGGUCUUGAAGGCUGUCUUCGGGAGGGAGAUGGCUCCUUACGGCAGAGGGUGUAAUUAAUUAAGGGUGAGGUGCAGUGAGCUCAGGCAGCUGGUGCAAGUGAUAAAGUGGCAUUGUGCAGCGAGUCCCCGGUGGUGACGGAGAUAAGGGCCCUGUCACAGGCACGAGGCUUGCUGGUUGCAGCGUGGGGAAGAGGCAGGGGUGUUUCUAGAGGGAAAGGCAGGAACUGGCCAAAACACAUUUAUGGGUGAAGCUCUGCCUCCUUCAGACCACAGCACCUUGAAGUUUAAUCCCCUGGUGGGAAAGCCGAAAAUACCCAUUAUGCCACUGCUCAUUUCUUGUAGACAGAAAUAUAGAAAAUGAGAGCAUGUGUUGAAGAAAAAAAAUCAAAAGGAAUGGUUAAAAGAAAGUUUUAAAUAACAUUUUUAAAAGCAUAAGAAACCCAUAGACUAUUUUAAAAAAAUAAAGAAAAUCCUCAUUGAAAGCCAGGAAAAAAUGUGUGCUGAGGAUCAAAAAGACUGGUUUCUGGAAAGGAAAAAAAAAAAAAAACCCUCUGCAUUGCUAACUAGCAGAGAAAAAGAAGUCAUGUAAAGAUGUAAAGGGAAAGGCAUCCUCCCUUUCGUCCACCCCACCGUCUCGUGCUUUGCCUCUCCAGAUCCUCCAGCCAAGAUCCAUCUUCAGAUCAGGCAUCCAAGUCAGAUGGAGGAGGCCAGGCCUUGGCUGUGUAAUCCAGGAGCUCCAAUCUCAGCUGUUUGCUCCCCUCUUGGGAAAGAUAUAUUUGUGUCUAUGAAGACCCCAAGUGCUACCCACGAGGGCAGAACAGAUCCAAGGAAGGGGCAUGUUCCACAGGAGGUAUCAGCCUUAUGAACUACAGUAUCAUCACAUUUAUAAACAGAAACCAGGAAAUCAUGUCCAGGGACCAGCGUACUCAUGUGCAUGUGUUCCAGAAAUUCAAGUGUGAGGGGGGACCAUCUUUCCAAGGAUGGACUCCAUUCAAGUCCUUCAUUCUUACCCCCAACAAAUCCACUGAGAAUAAUUCCAUCUGGAGAGAGAGAGAGAGCUAAGCACAGGAGUCCCUUUCUUCUUUCCAACCAACCAGGACCUCGAGGGAUGCCUGUUCUCUGCCAUCCCCCACCUGAGUUUGGGGACCUCAGACAGGGGCCUGAGCUGGUAUGAGCUUUGGCAUAAGUCACAGAGAUUUAAUACCAUAUAUCCAGCGUCUGGUCUUUCAGAAUGACAUUUUCAUUAGAGUGGAA
rnacentral:lncRNA from 1 species